ensembl:lncRNA
AUAGAAAAACUUCAUCCCUAAAGGGAUGGGGCUAUGGAAGAGUGCUUCUUAGUGGUGAGUAGCACAGCACUCGGUCCAUGCUCAGAGGCUCAUUGUUUGGAUUUGCUGUGUAGGAGGGAUGACUUUCUAGGCAAUGAUAAUGUUUUCUGGAGACUAGCCUCAGAUUUUAUCAUGUUUGUGUUUUGGGCAGGCAAGGCAAUGGAGAAAUGUGGUGAUAUUGCAGAGAUCUUGUCCUUGUUUUAGUAAUGGCUGUUUCUCCCUUUCCAGGAUGCUCAUUGUGACAGGAGAACAACAAACACAAUGGGGCAAUUAUGACUUCCCAAUCAGGAAUGGCCAAAACACAAGAUUUGACCAAUAUUUCAUUCAUUCCAGUUAUAAAAAGAUGCCCAUAGAUCCAUACAGCCAAUUGUAUCCUGUUUUGGUAUUCCCUCUUGGAAAAGUGGCCGUUAUCUACUGUAAUAACACCUUUGAGAUUCAGGAUUCUGUCUUUUUAAUGAAAGAUGGAACAUACACAGGUCAUAAAAGCUACAUCUCUAGAGGCCAUCCGAUACUUUUUGAUUUUCAUGUGAAACAAAACCAUGGAGGGUUGUACCAGUGUUGCUAUGGAUGGGAUUGGUUUUCCUGCAGAAUUAUGGAAGUACUGGAAGUAAUAAUAAGAGAUCCCAGCUUACAUAGACCACAAGUCUCCUUUGGAUCUAUUCCAGUAAGCAUUGGAGAAGACUUUACCGUCCAUUGCAGAGUCCAAGAAAAUGCCAACAAGUUUUAUUUCCAAAAGGAUGGGAAAGAGGUGCCUCACCAAAGGCCAUCCAAGAAUGAGAUAACCAUCCAAAGAGCAACUGAGGAGUAUGUAGGGAAUUACAGCUGCAGCUAUUCCCGUCAGUUUCUCAUGUCUAAACCCAGUGACUCUAUGAUGCUGCUAAUAACAGAUCCUCACCUACCACAGCCAGACAUCUCCAGCAGCUCAAGUGGGCCAGUUGCCCGUGGGGGAGAAAUUGCAAUUCAGUGUGAAAUUAAAAAGCCAACUGUCAUAUUCUAUCUCCAUAUAAAUGAAAAUCCACCAAAAAGAAUAAUCGAAACUGAUGGGAAAAAGUGCAAAUACUACUUUAAGAAUUUCAGCGUAACAGAUCAAGGGUCGUAUAGGUGCAGCUGUGCACUCCCAGAAAAGCCUUUUCUGAUCUCAAACAGAAGCCAUUCCCUGGACCUUUUUCUAUUAGCACUAUUGGAAGAAACACAAGCAAGUGGCGAAAGCUCUUUCAGAGUUUUGAGGGCUCAUCGGGCUACAAAAUCUUCUGGCACUUCAAAAGCUGGAAGAAAACACUUGGAGAAGGAACUUCCAAAAGAUGACCCUGCCACCCAGCAACAAAACAUAGUCUAUGCCGAAUUGAAGAGAUAUACCUCAGACAUGCCCCAGGCAGAAGCUGAAACUGAUGAUGAUGUUGUCUACGCCACAAUUACUGUUCAUUAAUCCACAAAUGUUGGGAGUCCUGAAAGAUCUGUGUGUCUUUUGGAUGGCUUCCUAUCAUAAUGUUGGGAGUGCUGAAGAAGUUUUGGGAUUACGGAUCUUUGGGCUGUAUAGGUUCACCUAGCAAAUGAACUUCAGUUGUUUUCAAUUCUUUUCCUGGCUUUGUGAUAAUAACAUACUCGCAAGUAGGCAUUAAUGAAAUCAAAAUUCAAACCAACUUCAAUUCAGACUUACAUGCCUUGUUAUCCAUUUCAAUAAACUUCUAAUUUUUUCUCAUAAACAGAACUGCAAAUGCUUUGUAUUUAAAGACUAUUUAACCUUGAAUAUGUUUUAAUGGUUUUUACCUGGGAAUUUUUUAAAUACUGUUUAUAUUUAAUCCUGUUUUAAUGUUUGAAUACUUGUAUAUUUUAAACUGUAUGUUGAUGCUUUUACUUUAGGCCACUUUGAGUCUCCUGCAGGAGAGAUAAAGCAGAGUUUAAAUAAGUAAAUAUAAUAAUAAUAAUAAUUCAGAAGUUUUUUUUUUAUCGUGUCAGAAGCAACUUGAGAACAUACUGCAAGUCACUUCUGGUGUGAGAGAAUUGGCCAUCUACAGAGACGUUGCCCAGAAGACUCCCAGAUGUGUUACUGGGAGGCUUCUCUCAUGUCCCCACAAGCUAGAACUUACAGAUGGAAGCUCACCCCAUCUCACAGAUUCAAACUGGCAAGCUUCAGGUGAGCAACACAACCUUCAGGUCAGCAGUUCAGCCGGCACAAGGGUUUAACCCAUUACACCAUCGUGUCUCCUAAGUGAUGUGGUGACAUCACUUACAGAAGUGCACAGAAAUAAGUAGACCUCUUGCUAUUUUAAAUUGAGAUUCGGAAGAAUUCAUAGUGGUCAGGAUCCUGAUCCACAAGUAAGACUCAUGUCUUACAUUAUGACGAUGUUAGAGGAGAUAUAUGAAAUCUGGAAUACAAGUUCAGAUAUUCCAUGUCAUGCUCAUGGAAAUUGCCUAACUAUUAGAUCAAAACAGACUUUGAGUGAAGUAUUGAAAAAGUCAUUCAUCAAGCCUGUAUAUGCGUCAGUCUCUACUGAUUUGCUGAUCCCCAUCAAUCCUAGCAGCUGCUUGCGGGUAAGUGGGGUGUUAGGGACUUUCAUAGGCCCUAUAUAGCGCGUGCGCUCGCUCUCUCUCUCUCUCUCUCUCUCUCUCUCUCUCUCUCUCUCUCUCUCUCUCUCUCUCCCCACACACCAGUGACUGCAUAGGGAUCAUGACAGCAGUGACAAUGCAUAACUGGAGGUUACAUAUUUGUAACUGCCCAGAAGGAUUCCUGACAUGGUUUCUUACAUAACAAAAUAUGCAGGUAAGUUUGAUACACAUAGAGAAAGCUCAUUUCCACCCUAAAGAAGAACACCAGGGUGGAAGUUGCAAAACAGUAGUAUCUCAGUUCCUGCCUUAGGCAAUUCGAAUUUCAGAUUGCGAGAUUAUGGCGAUCGAGCGUGUGUACAUUCAGUGUCAAGCUAUGAUAAAGAAGGAGAACCUAAAAGGAGCACUAGCCCCUGUUUACUUUCCCCAACAUGGAACCACUUCUGGCAGAGACUAGAAAAUUUGAUAAGUAUGUAUCAAACAGGAAUGAAGUUUGCAUUUAAUCAUGUGUCCUUUGACCAAAAUACUUAUUAUGCACAUAUAUGCAAAUGUAGGUGUUCCAAAAUGAAAAAUAAAAAUCUGAAAUACUUCUGGUCCCUGGAUAAGGAACACUCAAACUGUCCAGCACUGUGAACAGCAGUAGAUGAUAGGGAAAAGCUUGAUUCAUUUGUCUAUCUGCUCAGUAGACAGCAAGAUAGGGGAAAAGGAGCCCCAAAGUGAAUGCCCACAUAAGAUGCUGGAGGAUAUGCGUGCAUGUGUUUCUUUUAACACAUAACCACAAUUUCAUUAUCUUUUCCUAUGAAGCCAUCUAAUCUAUAUUUUGUAUUUAUCCCACCCCCAAGCAGUACAGAUCCUCCUUUGCGAAUUCUUACAUUUGAAAUGACUUGAGUUGUCACCUUAGUAAAUUGACUGAUUAUCUAAUCACAGAAUAUCUUUCUAACACAUCAGGGGAGAGCACAUGAGAGGCUUGUAACCAAGACCUGGUUGGUAGAUUGGGCUCUUACCAGUUUCCUAUUAUCUUUGGAUCCAGUUUGGGGACUGAUGGAAUGCAGGACACUCAACAGACACCGCAACUGGAACUAGGCUUAUG